rnacentral:rRNA from 1 species
UACGUAGGGUGCAAGCGUUAAUCGGAAUUACUGGGCGUAAAGCGCACGUAGGCGGCUUUGUAAGUUAGAGGUGAAAGCCCAGGGCUUAACCCUGGAAUUGCCUUUAAGACUGCAUCGCUAGAAUUGUGGAGAGGUAAGUGGAAUUCCGAGUGUAGAGGUGAAAUUCGUAGAUAUUCGGAAGAAACACCAGUGGCGAAGGCGACUUACUGGACACAUAUUGACGCUGAGGUGCGAAAGCGUGGGGAGCAAACAGG